AAAGAGGCAAUGAAGGGAAGAGUAAGCUUGCAUGGACUCCUUACAGAGAGCGCCCGUUUUGGUGAAAGGGUGCGGAUGAGGUCUUGCUGAAGAUGGUCCCGGAGCCUGAUGGCUGAAGGGUGACUUUAGGCUGUCACGUAGCGCACACGUUAUAGUGCAGGGGUAUUUACGGACUUUGUCCAGCGUACCUUAAGAGGUCAUGUGCUGUGAGGCACAGGCGAACAAGGGUGGUAACACGGAGCUUCCGUCCCUUUG
rnacentral:ncRNA from 1 species